GCAAACUGGAUCCAAGGUGCUGCUCCCCCUAGGGGCCGUUGCGGGACUUUGCAACUAUUGAGAAAGAAGGGAGCAGGCAGCAGCUUGCCGGUGCCAAAUCACCCUACCAGGCGGCGCUCAUGGGGAGGAGCGAGCUGCAGAAGCCAGCCAAUCACGACGUGCCCUCUCGCCUGAGAGGGCUCCGUGGGCCAAGGUGUCCGGGCCAAUAAAAAAGUCGCAAUGGGAGCUUGAUGCCUGUUGUAUUUGCAUAGAGCGCGGUUGGUCUUUGCCUUCGAUAGAGGGCGGGGCUUAUUGAAGGAAAAGAAUCUAAAAGCGGUCCACAGUGGAUGAGGCGGGGUUUGUUGCCUGUGCUGUGUAAGGUAGCCAAGAAAAUGCUGGUCAUUGGACUUGGAGGUGUAACAAAUGGAGGAAAAACUACUCUGGCAAGAAAGCUCAAGAAACAGCUUCCAAAUUGUACUGUAAUCUCUCAAGAUGACUUUUUUAAGCCAGAAUCUGAAGUGGCUGUAGAUGACCGUGGAUUUUUACAGUAUGAUGUUCUUGACGCCCUACAUAUGGAUAAAAUGGUGGCAAGCAUACGCUCUUGGAUGACGAACCCAGAGGACUCUGCAUUGACAAGACUACCAAGUAGUACACAGGAUAACCAGAAAGGAAGAGAAGACAUUUGUGUCUUAAUUGUAGAAGGCUUCCUUCUGUAUAACUACAAGCCUCUCAGUGAUGUAUGGGAUAAAAAAUACUUUCUAACCAUUCCUUAUGAAGAAUGCAAGAGAAGAAGAAGCAGUCGAAUUUAUAAUCCACCAGACCCACCAGAGUACUUUGACGGACAUGUGUGGCCCAUGUAUUUGAAACACAAGAGAGAAAUGGAAGAAAAUGAAACUGACAUUGGCCAUGCAACCUAGUACAGUGGUCCCUCGACUUACGAAGUUAAUCCGUUCCGAACGCACGUUCGUAGGUCGAAAUUUUCGUAAGUCGAAAAGCGCACCACGGAGGUCUGGAAACAUUUGUAAGUCGAGGAAACCGCAUCUAAAAAUUCGUAAGUCGAGGAAGCCGCAUCUAAACCGGCAAUGACUUCCGGUCAUUUUUGUCAUUCUUUAUUUGGAUGGAACAAAAUCACAAGAAGAUCUUUACUCAAGAAUAUAUAACGAUAUAGUACAGGAUCUGGAAAAGCAAAGUGCACAAAACUCUGUUAAACACGCAUAAAUCCUGAGUGUGUUCUAGUCCUGGAUGAGCAAGUAUUCACCUCCCUAAAAUAUUAUUCCUAAAGAAUGUUUUACAAAGCCAACUGAAGCCCUUCUAAAGCAGCAUCAACUAGGUGUGCCAUGGCAUUAUGAAGAAGGCUUGCUUUGUAUCUUUACAAAGUGCCACACCAGAUACACUGGUGUGUAUCACACCAGUGCCACACCAGAUACACUGCCAGAUUCUCAGUUUGCAGUUCUUGUGUCUAUCUUAUAUUUUCAUUCUGGAUGGGGGAAACUCCAGCUCUGCCUUCUGUUGCCCUCCCUCCUUCCUCACAGCAACCGUUUCACCUCACAAAAGUGCCUGGAAGCAGCACAGCUGCCAAGUUCUUCAACCAGUUCUCCUUCUCACUUCAGGCUGGGGAGCACUGUUGCCUAUCAGCUGCACUUAUUCCUUAAUCUAGCUGGCUACAGGCAUUUCCCCCCUUUUUUGCUCUCCUCCACAAAGACUUUGGUUAUUCUACUUCUUCAGCAACACUGCUAAAGGGAAGCUGCUUGUUAUAUAUCUAGACAAAUGGAGGUGGAAAGAAGCCCUCUUUUCCACAUGCACACCCCCGCCCCCAGCAGCAACAAGGGCUGCUGCAGCUUCAGUGACGGAUGCCAUGGCAAGCAGAACUCCUUUUCACAGCAAGCUACCCCUGAGUGUGGCACCAGCCUCUUAUAAGGCCAGAAAUCGAAAGAUAUUCCAGAUAUUCAAAUUUUGUCUUGGCAGCAAGGGAAGCAUUAACUUUUUAUCUUGCUUAAUCAAGAUGAUUUAUUUUUAAUGCAUUUCCUAGACACCUUUUGAUUUGUAUUAAGUGAGGUAAACAGCUGUAGUAGAACAUUAGUAAGUUCUGUGCAAUCUUUGAGUUAGUUAUAAUAGAGAUUUCUCUAAUUUCACUAAAGAGCUGCAAUAGAAUGUUUUGCACUCUGCAGUAUUAUAGAUUAGAGGUAAUUGAUAAAGCAGUAUUCUGAUACAGUAUUCUGAGCAAGACUAAGUAUCUAGUCUGUUCACUUGAAACACUGAAGAGUGCUAAAGGAGUUUUUAGGGCAAAAUGUAAACUACAACACUUGGAAGAAACUGAGAUAACAAGCCUCCAGCCCUUCUGCCAAUUGGCUAUAUUUCUCUUGGUGCUUAUCUUAAAGAGAAUGUGUUUGUCUUAAAUCCUUAAGAGAGUAGUGGGUAAAAUGUUUAGGACAGAUUAUACCGGUUUCAGCAACAAGACUCCAAAUAAAUUUCUUUCUCCCAAUACAUAA